GUUGAUAUUCAAUUAAAUCGGGGUUUUCCGAAGAGAAAACGCGUGAUUUUCGCUUAAAUGGGGGAUUUCCAAAGAGAAAACGCGUGAUAUUUGCUUAAAUGUGGGAUUCUCGGAGAUAAAGAGCGUGAUAUCCGAUUAAAAGGGGGAUUUCCGAAGAGAAAACUCGUGAUUUUUGCUUAAAUGGGAGAUUUCCGAAGAUAAUGGGGGAUUUCAGAUGAGAAAACGCGUGAUAUUUGCUUAAAUGUUGGAUUCUCGAAGAGAAAACGUGUGAUUUUCGCUUAAAUGGGGGAUUUCCGAAGAGAAAACGCGUGAUUUUCAAGUUAAAUGGGUGAUUUCCGAAGAGAAAACGCGUGAUUUUCAAGUUAAAUGGGGGAUUUCUGAAGAGAAAACGCGUGAUUUUCACUUAAAUGGGGUAUUUGAGAAGAGAAAAUUCGUGAUCUUCACUUAAAUGGGGGAUUCUCAAAGAGAAAACGCUUGAUUUUCACUUAAAUUGACGAUUCUCAAAGAGAAAACGCGAGAUUUUCACUUAAAUGGGGGUUUUGCGAAGGGAAAAUGUGUGAUUUCUGGUUAAAUGUGGGAUUUCGGAAGAGAAAACUCGUGGUUUUUUGGGUUAAUUGGGGGAUUUGCGAAGAGAAAAUGCGUGAUUUUCGCUUAAAUGUGGGAUUUGAGAAAACACAUGAUUUUCGGGUUAAAUGGGGGAUUCUCGAAGAGAAAAUGCUUGGUUUUCUGGUUAAAUGGGGGAUUUGCGAAGAGAAAACGCGUGAUUUUCGCUUAAAUGGGGGAUUUGAGAAAACACAUGAUUUUCUGGUUAAAUGUUGGAUUCUCGAAGAGAAAACGCGUGAUUUUCGCUUAAAUGGGGGAUUUCCGAAGAGAAAACGCGUGAUUUUCAAGUUAAAUGGGGGAUUUGCGAAGAGAAAACGUGUGAUUUUCGCUUAAAUGUUGGAUUCUCGAAGAGAAAACACGUGAUUUUCGCUUAAAUGUUUGAUUCUCGAAGAGAAAACGUGAUUUUCAAGUUAAAUGGGGGAUUUCCGAAGAGAAAACGCGUGAUUUUCGCUUAAAUGGGGUAUUUGAGAAGCGAAAAUU
rnacentral:lncRNA from 1 species